rnacentral:rRNA from 1 species
UACAGAGGGGGCAAGCGUUGUUCGGAAUUACUGGGCGUAAAGGGCGCGUAGGCGGCCUGCUAAGUCGAACGUGAAAUCCCUGGGCUCAACCCAGGAACUGCGUCCGAUACUGGUUGGCUUGAAUCCGGGAGAGGGAUGCGGAAUUCCAGGUGUAGCGGUGAAAUGCGUAGAUAUCUGGAGGAACACCGGUGGCGAAGGCGGCAUCCUGGACCGAUAUUGACGCUGAGGUGCGAAAGCGUGGGGAGCAAACAGG